GCAAGUCGAACGGUAACAGGAAGCAGCUUGCUGCUUUGCUGACGAGUGGCGGACGGGUGAGUAAUGUCUGGGAAACUGCCUGAUGGAGGGGGAUAACUACUGGAAACGGUGGCUAAUACCGCAUAACGUCGCAAGACCAAAGAGGGGGACCUUCGGGCCUCUUGCCAUCAGAUGUGCCCAGAUGGGAUUAGCUUGUUGGUGAGGUAACGGCUCACCAAGGCGACGAUCCCUAGCUGGUCUGAGAGGAUGACCAGCCACACUGGAACUGAGACACGGUCCAGACUCCUACGGGAGGCAGCAGUGGGGAAUAUUGCACAAUGGGCGCAAGCCUGAUGCAGCCAUGCCGCGUGUAUGAAGAAGGCCUUCGGGUUGUAAAGUACUUUCAGCGGGGAGGAAGGUGUUGUGGUUAAUAACCGCAGCAAUUGACGUUACCCGCAGAAGAAGCACCGGCUAACUCCGUGCCAGCAGCCGCGGUAAUACGGAGGGUGCAAGCGUUAAUCGGAAUUACUGGGCGUAAAGCGCACGCAGGCGGUCUGUCAAGUCGGAUGUGAAAUCCCCGGGCUCAACCUGGGAACUGCAUUCGAAACUGGCAGGCUUGAGUCUUGUAGAGGGGGGUAGAAUUCCAGGUGUAGCGGUGAAAUGCGUAGAGAUCUGGAGGAAUACCGGUGGCGAAGGCGGCCCCCUGGACAAAGACUGACGCUCAGGUGCGAAAGCGUGGGGAGCAAACAGGAUUAGAUACCCUGGUAGUCCACGCCGUAAACGAUGUCUACUUGGAGGCUGUGCCCUUGAGGCGUGGCUUCCGGAGCUAACGCGUUAAGUAGACCGCCUGGGGAGUACGGCCGCAAGGUUAAAACUCAAAUGAAUUGACGGGGGCCCGCACAAGCGGUGGAGCAUGUGGUUUAAUUCGAUGCAACGCGAAGAACCUUACCUGGUCUUGACAUCCACAGAAGUUUGCAGAGAUGCGAAUGUGCCUUCGGGAACUGUGAGACAGGUGCUGCAUGGCUGUCGUCAGCUCGUGUUGUGAAAUGUUGGGUUAAGUCCCGCAACGAGCGCAAC
rnacentral:rRNA from 1 species